UAGGGAAUCUUCCACAAUGGGCGCAAGCCUGAUGGAGCAACACCGCGUGAGUGAAGAAGGGUUUCGGCUCGUAAAGCUCUGUUGUUGGAGAAGAACAUGCGUGAGAGUAACUGUUCACGCAGUGACGGUAUCCAACCAGAAAGUCACGGCUAACUACGUGCCAGCAGCCGCGGUAAUACGUAGGUGGCAAGCGUUAUCCGGAUUUAUUGGGCGUAAAGCGAGCGCAGGCGGUUGCUUAGGUCUGAUGUGAAAGCCUUCGGCUUAACCGAAGAAGGGCAUCGGAAACCGGGCGACUUGAGUGCAGAAGAGGACAGUGGAACUCCAUGUGUAGCGGUGGAAUGCGUAGAUAUAUGGAAGAACACCAGUGGCGAAGGCGGCUGUCUGGUCUGCAACUGACGCUGAGGCUCGAAAGCAUGGGUAGCGAACA
rnacentral:rRNA from 1 species